rnacentral:rRNA from 1 species
AAAUUGAAGAGUUUGAUCAUGGCUCAGAUUGAACGCUGGCGGCAGGCCUAACACAUGCAAGUCGAACGGUAACAGGAAGCAGCUUGCUGCUUCGCUGACGAGUGGCGGACGGGUGAGUAAUGUCUGGGAAACUGCCUGAUGGAGGGGGAUAACUACUGGAAACGGUGGCUAAUACCGCAUAACGUCGCAAGACCAAAGAGGGGGACCUUCGGGCCUCUUGCCAUCAGAUGUGCCCAGAUGGGAUUAGCUUGUUGGUGAGGUAACGGCUCACCAAGGCGACGAUCCCUAGCUGGUCUGAGAGGAUGACCAGCCACACUGGAACUGAGACACGGUCCAGACUCCUACGGGAGGCAGCAGUGGGGAAUAUUGCACAAUGGGCGCAAGCCUGAUGCAGCCAUGCCGCGUGUAUGAAGAAGGCCUUCGGGUUGUAAAGUACUUUCAGCGGGGAGGAAGGUGUUGCGGUUAAUAACCGCAGCAAUUGACGUUACCCGCAGAAGAAGCACCGGCUAACUCCGUGCCAGCAGCCGCGGUA